rnacentral:rRNA from 1 species
ACGAAGGGUGCAAGCGUUAAUCGGAAUUACUGGGCGUAAAGCGUGCGUAGGCGGUUUGUUAAGUCUGAUGUGAAAGCCCCGGGCUCAACCUGGGAAUUGCAUUGGAAACUGGCGAGCUAGAGUGCGGUAGAGGGUGGCGGAAUUCCCGGUGUAGCGGUGAAAUGCGUAGAGAUCGGGAGGAACAUCCGUGGCGAAGGCGGCCACCUGGACCAGCACUGACGCUGAGGCACGAAAGCGUGGGGAGCAAACAGGA